UAGGGAAUAUUGGACAAUGGGCGCAAGCCUGAUCCAGCCAUCCCGCGUGAAGGAUUAAGGCCCUCUGGGUUGUAAACUUCUUUUCUCUGGGAAUAAAAAGUGGGAUUCAUCCUGCCUUGAAGGUACCAGAGGAAUAAGCACCGGCUAACUCCGUGCCAGCAGCCGCGGUAAUACGGAGGGUGCAAGCGUUAUCCGGAUUCACUGGGUUUAAAGGGUGCGUAGGUGGCUUUGUAAGUCAGUGGUGAAAUGCCGCAGCUCAACUGCGGAACUGCCAUUGAUACUGCUUAGCUUGAAUCACGUCGAGGUGGAUGGAAUAUUACAUGUAGCGGUGAAAUGCUUAGAUAUGUAAUAGAACACCGAUUGCGAAGGCAGUUCACUAGGCGUGUAUUGACACUGAGGCACGAAAGCGUGGGGAUCAAACAG
rnacentral:rRNA from 1 species